CAUGUUAGUCCUUCACAAGCCGCGAUGGCUGCUUAUUUUGACACAAUAACACAGACUUUCACAGCGCUUGAGACUUCAUGUAAUAACAGUAUGGUCCUAUGGAUUUCAGUACCAAAACUGAUUUUCUACCGUUUUUCUUCCAAGAAAGUUCUGAACAGCUGAAUCCUGGAUCAGCCUAGAUGUUAUUUCACUGGAUUAUUUAAUGAAUAUUACUCUACUGAGUUACCUGGUUACAUGGAUCAGCUAAGAUGUUGUUUCACUGGAUUAUUUAAUUGGGCAUAUAAUUGGAUAAUUCUGUCCUCAACCUGGAAGAUAUGUUUUAUUCCUAACCAUCUAUAAUCCAUUCUCUAUGAAGUUCAGCCUGUCUGCCCAAAUUCCUUUGGAAAUACAUAGUUAGUCAACCAACAUAGAAACAAUCAAACUUGAAGUCCUCAACCUGGAAGAUAUGUUUUAUUCCUAACCAUCUAUAAUCCAUUCUCUAUGAAGUUCAGCCUGUCUGCCCAAAUUCCUUUGGAAAUACAUAGUUAGUCAACCAACAUAGAAACAAUCAAACUUGAAGUCCUCAACCUGGAAGAUAUGUUUUAUUCCUAACCAUCUAUAAUCCAUUCUCUAUGAAGUUCACCCUGUCUGCCCAAAUUCCUUUGGAAAUACAUAGUUAGUCAACCAACAUAGAAACAAUCAAACUUGAAGGAUUCUCUAGUGAGAGGUUAUGGAAAUGAUCUAUGUCUACUCUUAGAAUGGUGAAAGACUCUCAGAUUAUGCAAAGACUAACAGAAUAUCCUCUCUUGGAACACUGAAACAAAAAAACCAAACUUAAGAGGAUGCAGGAUUUAAGAAGAACAUAAAUAUGAUUUCCAUCGAAUUUAACCAGUACGAUCAUAGACUGUGGUUUAUACAGGAUGACAAAGAAAGGACCCAGGAUUGUAUGUUUCACUGUCAGACACUGACUAUGGAUAAAGUGUAAUCAUUUAUCAAACUGAGAUCUAGUCAAAUCAAGUAUUGAAAAUAUGAUUUUCUGAUAGCAUGAGCUCUUUAAAAACUAUUUCUCACUGACCUCAAAGUAUCUGAAUAUGACUUUUAUUUUUACCAAUUCAUAUUGAAGACUGUUGUUAUGUAUGGGAAUUACACAUUUAAACCUUUUAUUUUUCUUCUAAUUUUUACAACCCCCUAGAAAUUACACAGAUAUCCAGAUGCUGGAUUUAAUGGUAUUAUUUAACUUUCCUGGAAUUGUAAAUAUAUUUUGUUUGUGUAUGUAUCAUGUUUAAUUUUGAAUUUAAAAUUUGUCUCAAUAGGACCCCCAUAAAGAUGUAAGUGUCCCAUAAUCUGUGAUGCAAUAAUAUCUUGAAUAUUUGUUGUCAUCCCAUAUACUUCAUACUUACUACAUAAAGACUGAUUGGAGGAAUACACUUUGUUGUUUGGGACACUUUAUCAAGGUCAAAGCAUGAGAUUAUUGAGAAGACUACUUUGACAAUAAUUUGUAACUUACAAACUUCACAUCAUAAGUACAUAAAUGAAGAAUGAAUAGGAUGAAUAAGAGAUUUCUUAAGAAAUCUUGGAUCAUGUUUCUCCUGAAUAAAAACCAGUUACUGAGAUAACUGAUAUGAGUCUUGCAAUAACUUCAACAUUUUGUAAUAAGUAUAGAAAAUAUGAUUUUCUGAUAGCAUGGGCUCUUUAAAAAUUAAUUCUCACGGACUUCAGAGUAUUUAAAUGUGACUUUUAUUUUUUGCCAAUUCAUAUUGAAGACAGUUGUUAUGUAUGAGAAGUAUACAUUUAAACCUUUUAUUUUGCAUCUUAUUUCUAUAUCCCCUAGAAAUUACACAGAUAUUCAGAUGCUAGAUUUAAUGUAAUUAUUACUUUCCUGGAAUUGUAAAUAUAUUGUAUUUGUGUAUAUAUGUAUGUGUAUUGUACCCUAUUUUUAAAUUUAAAACUUGAAAUAUGAUAAAGGUCCCUUAGUAUCCCACUUCAAGAUGCAGUUACCCAGUAAUCUGUGAUGCAAUAUCUUGAAUAUUUUUAUCAUCUCAUAUACUUCAUGCUUACUACACAUAACAGCUUAUAGUAAUACACAUAGUUUUAAAGGACACAUUUGUCAAGGUCAAAGCAUGCGAUUAUUGAGAUAACUACUAUUGAAAAUAAUUUGUAACCUACAAACUUCACAUCAUAAGUUAAGAAUGAAUCGGAGAUUUUCUAUAGAUUUUAAGAUCAUUUUUCUUCUGGGUAAAAGUCAGU